CGAAAGUCUGAUGGAGCAAUACCACGUGAACGAUGAAGGUCUUCUGAUUGUAAAGUUCUUUUAUUUAGGAAAAAAAGCGCGGCAGGAAAUGGCCGCGCCUUGAUUGUACUAAUUGAAUAAGUGACAGCUAACUAUGUGCCAGCAGCUGCGGUAAAACAUAGGUCACGAGCAUUAUCCG
rnacentral:rRNA from 1 species